UUUCCGUAGGUGAACCAGCGGAAGGAUCAUUACCGAGUUUUGAGUGGGUUGUACCCGGCCUUCCGUGGCCUGUGCACGUCCUGCUCAUCCACUCUACACCUGUGCACUUACUGUGGGUAUCAGAUCGUGCAGCCUGCUGUUUUACCGGAGCUCGUGAAGCGUGUCUGUGCCUUCGUUUAUCGCAAACACUUUCAAAUAACGGGAUGUGUAUUACGAUGUAACGCAUAUAUAUAAAACUUUCAGCAACGGAUCUCUUGGCUCUG
rnacentral:misc_RNA from 1 species